GCCCGGAUGGUCUAGUGGUAUGAUUCGCCCUUUGGGAUGAGGUUUUCGGGUCUCUGGAUUGGGUGAGGCCCCGCGUUCGAAUCGCGGUUCGGGCC